rnacentral:rRNA from 1 species
CCGCCCGAAAGGACGGGUAAUACCGGAUACCCCCGGGCGCCGCAUGGCGCCCGGGCUAAAGCCCCGACGGGAGGGGAUGGCUCCGCGGCCCAUCAGGUAGACGGCGGGGUGACGGCCCACCGUGCCGACAACGGGUAGCCGGGUUGAGAGACCGACCGGCCAGAUUGGGACUGAGACACGGCCCAGACUCCUACGGGAGGCAGCAGUGGGGAAUCUUGCGCAAUGGGGGGAACCCUGACGCAGCGACGCCGCGUGCGGGACGGAGGCCUUCGGGUCGUAAACCGCUUUCAGCAGGGAAGAGUCAAGACUGUACCUGCAGAAGAAGCCCCGGCUAACUACGUGCCAGCAGCCGCGGUAAUACGUAGGGGGCGAGCGUUAUCCGGAUUCAUUGGGCGUAAAGCGCGCGUAGGCGGCCCGGCAGGCCGGGGGUCGAAGCGGGGGGCUCAACCCCCCGAAGCCCCCGGAACCUCCGCGGCUUGGGUCCGGUAGGGGAGGGUGGAACACCCGGUGUAGCGGUGGAAUGCGCAGAUAUCGGGUGGAACACCGGUGGCGAAGGCGGCCCUCUGGGCCGAGACCGACGCUGAGGCGCGAAAGCUGGGGGAGCGAACAGGAUUAGAUACCCUGGUAGUCCCAGCCGUAAACGA